GACGAACGCUGGCGGCGUGCUUAACACAUGCAAGUCGAACGGAAAGGCCCUGCUUUUGUGGGGUGCUCGAGUGGCGAACGGGUGAGUAACACGUGAGUAACCUGCCCUUGACUUUGGGAUAACUUCAGGAAACUGGGGCUAAUACCGGAUAGGAGCUCCUGCUGCAUGGUGGGGGUUGGAAAGUUUCGGCGGUUGGGGAUGGACUGGCGGCUUAUCAGCUGGUUGGUGGGGUAGUGGCUUACCAAGGCUUUGACGGGUAGCCGGCCUGAGAGGGUGACCGGCGACAUUGGGACUGAGAUACGGCCCAGACUCCUACGGGAGGCAGCAGUGGGGAAUAUUGCACAAUGGGCGGAAGCCUGAUGCAGCAACGCCGCGUGCGGGAUGACGGCCUUCGGGUUGUAAACCGCUUUCGCCUGUGACGAAGCGUGAGUGACGGUAAUGGGUAAAGAAGCACCGGCUAACUACGUG
rnacentral:rRNA from 1 species